UGGCUCAGAUGGUAAAGCAUCUGCCUGCAAUGCAGGAGACCCGGGUUCAAUCCCUGG
rfam:TPA: Bos taurus chromosome X, whole genome shotgun sequence.